UCUCAUGUAAAUGGCACCCAGAAUGCCUAAAAUUGUGACAGAUGCAGAUGUUUUUGUGUCCAGUUAUUUUUUUGGUGAGCAGCCUCUUUGUGGUCAGUUGUAAGCGCUACAUUUCAAUAGUCCUGCAUUUCUGAAAAAGCCUAUUGCAUAAAGUUAGGAUCCUACUAAAUGAAAACAAAACACAACACUAACAAAAAAUAACAAGAUCUUCCAACAAUGUUCAGUAACUGAGCUAGAGGUUAGUGCUGCAUUCUGGAAAAAAAAAAAUUAUUCCAGGCACCAUAUGAUUUCAUGCACUAAAAACUUUAAACAUUUCAGAGGAACAUAACAUAUGACAUAGGGUGUUUUUAUUUAAUGAAUGGCUUUAAGAAAUGGGGCCAGUGUCCCUUCUCACAGAUGAACGUCUUGUGCCAAGAGCGUUGCUGUACAAUGUGUCAUCACUCGGGAACCUAAAGAAUUGUACUUGAGAAAACAUUGCUACAACAUAUCAUCCCCUUCCCAGAAAGGUUCACUUCAGGCUCUGUAGAAAAACAGAACAACUCAUUUCCACUGAAUAUAAUUCAUCUGUUGAGAAACUUUCUUAAAGGCAUAGGUCGCUGAGCAAGUGGCUGGAAAACUCUUUAAUCUCGUAGCAACAAUAAUAGUUCAUCAUUAUUAUUACUACUUAGCUCUUGCAUCGCACUUUCUACACUCAGCGGGCUCUAAAAACACGAAGCAGUUAAUCCUGGAGCUCCCUGAAGUAUUUCACCUGAGCGGGGCUGGUCUUCAGCCUGAGGGACUGCAUAUGAACAUCCUCUUCCUUGUCCGUGGUGUGAAAAUGGAAGAGUUGAUUACCCAGAAGGAAGAGUGUAUCACUGCUGGCUGUAGGACACUCCCAGCUUCACCUGUUUCAAGAGCAGUUUAAGCUCUCUCUCAUUUUGCUCUUCAGGCAAAAUAAAAAAAAAAAAAAGAAGAAAAAAAAGGUGGUCUGAGCUAUACCAGGAGAUUCUUCCCUGAUAUAAAAUCAGGGUCGUUUAGAAGGAUUGCUCCUUUAGCAAGUCAAGGGAAGGGUGGUGACAAGCAGAGAGCUCCAGAGAGAGAAGAAUUAGUAACUUUGAGUGCUAACAAUUUAACCUGUAUCUUCCACAGACAUAAAUGUUUGUAUAACCUGCCCUACAGCACGGUGAGAUGCACUAGUGCAGAGAAGGCAGUUCUAACAGACUACCUGCUUUUUAAAGCAAAUCCCAUUAAAGGCACCCCUAAGCUGUACCCCCAGCCAGCACCCUCUCAAGGACUCAAAAUCCCCUCAAUCGGUCCUCACACCCUGAUCCCAUCCAAGGUUUCUGCAGAUGUGUGACGGGGCCCACACCCCUGGGCACAACUGCUCUCCACCUGCAGCAAGGGAAACAGAAAGCAGAGCCCAAGAAAGCUGCGGGGCAGCAGGAAUGAGAGCAGGGACCCCGCCUGGGGGGGUGGGGGGAGCGCAGCCCGGGGCGGGGGUGAUGCUGUCAGGAGGGAGGCCGGGUGCUGGCGCUGGCCUGAUUUCUGUCCUUAGGCUCCCUCUAGAGUUUACAUCAAAUGAGCAAAAGGUCUUAAACUCGGCUUGGCUGUACCCUCUCUCCGCGGCGUGGGCAGCACACCUACCUCCUGCCUGCGCCGAGCCCUCCUGCCUGGAGCGAGGGGGUUGCAGGCAGGGCGGGCAGCAGGAGCAGCUCGGUGGCAGGGAUGCUGCCUGCUGAGCUGCGAGGCACGCAGAGAGGGGCUGGCAUCUCCUAGCCCCCCCUUGGCACUGCUCUGGUGCUGGGCACGGCUGGAUGAUACCCCAGGGCCUUCAUAAGCUAAAAUGGCACAGGCUUCUCUUCUCCCUGAUGGCCUCUGCUGUUGAACCUCUCCAGGGCCCUAAUCCUACCCAGAAGGGAAGGGUUCCUGUUAAGUGCAUUAUGAAUAUCCCCAGUGCACUCAGGUGAAUUCUUGGGGCCUGUGCUUCAAAUCUCAUGGCUACCUCGCCCCACAUGUCUUGAGAAAAUUAGUGUUUUGUCUGUAAAAGUGGAGAUGUGGGGGAAACAGCAUCAGGUCAGUAACAGCUGAAGCAAACUUGCUCAAGCCUCCAGCUUUCAAAUGGGUCACGUUGUGCCCCUGCCUCCUUCAUCCUCAACUCUGGAAAACACAUCCUGUGAAACAGCUCAGGUAUUAUUCCCAAAUUCCCUGCUAUUUGCAAGGGAAUAUUGAAAAUCCUAAACGACCUAGCCUCUUUAUGUGUACGGUUCAGAUGUGCUUUGCUGGUUCGCUUGACAGCCUUAUAAAGUGCUGGGGAAGGAGGGUGGCCAAAAUGAGGACGGGAAGCUUGCCUAAGCGGUUCUGGAGGAAAGAAAAACAGUGAGCAGCUCUGCCAGUGGAAAAGCCCAAACAAGAAAGAGGAGCAGGGUACUGGGAAGAGAGGGGACAGGGUGUUCAGAGGCUAUUAGAGGAGCCAGGACAUUCCUCGCACAGAUCUCCCUAUAAACACUCCUCCCUCCUUCCUGGUUCCCUCCUCCAAGUUUUGGUUGUGUGGGGGUUUUUUUUCUGUUGUUGUUGUUUGUUUUCCUUUCUUUCUCUAAUCCUGUCUUCCGAUCUUUGACUGGCUGCAUCUUCAGCUUAAAUGGCAGCAGAGAGAGGAGAAACUGGCCAGCUGCAGGCAAGGACGUUGGGGUCGCUCUCAGACCUCGCCCCCCGCCUCAUCUCCACCCGCUGCGCGGCCGCGCAAACCCGCGCACCCCCGCGCACCGCCUCCCCUCCGCAGCCCCGCUGCUGUGCCCCGCUUUUGCAAGACGAUGGCGCUCUGAUCUUUCCAGAUCCUUACUCCAGAGCCCUUUUUUUUUUUUUUUUUUUGUAUUUUUUUUCACGCUUCGCUGCUACUACGGGCGGGCGCCUGCCUCUCUCACGAUUUGCUGCAGCCAUCGGGGGUGCCUGACUGUAAACAAAACACUUUAGAUCAUGGCAAGGUCGCUGCAGACACAGCCUUUUUCUCCUUUGCAGCCGCAGCGAUUUAAGGUGGAUUGCCGAAACGGCACCGCAGGGAAGGGGGGGGAAGCCGAAAGGGCCGCGGAUGCUCCGAGGAUGCGAAUGCUCCAGGGAUGCGGAUGCUUCCCCCUCCGCUCCCGGCUUUUAAUUAUUCGUUUUCAAUACAUUUGCACAGCAUCCAGGGGAUUAGUCCCUGGCCCUUGUGCUAGGGGAGGUAUAAACAGCACAACAACAACAAAAAAGAAGGUUCUUGUCCUACAGUAACUUGUUUCUUCUUUUCCAAAGGCUGUAGAUAAAUUCUUUACCACUGCGGUCGUGUUCCUGGUUGUUUACCCGUUGGGCACACAGUCUUUUCCAAUAUUUGCAGACCAUAAUUUUUUUUUUCCUUGGUGUUUCUAUUCUGGUACAAUGUUGUAUUCCUACCGACAAGGGGUUUGUCUUUCUUUUGUGGACUCGUGAGACAAGCAGUGACUCCCAAGGAGCAGAGACUGGGAACUCCUUAUCUAAGGACUCACCAGUGGGACGUUCAGCAGGUUACCAGCAGGCAGACCCCCAUCUGUGGGGUGAGCCCUGGGCAUCUUCAGGGAACACCAGAACAUAUUUUGCAGAUCGCUUCCUUAGCCUACAACAAUUCUGUUGUGUAGAUCAGCAAAAUAAGUCAAGUGUCACACACCUGACAGAAAGCGAAGAGAAGUUUGAAAUGACCCUUCCUCGCUGUUGGCUAUGGAAGUCAAAGACAGGAAAGCCUGGAGAAACGAAGAUGAAAUCCUGCAAAUAAAGCAGAUUAAUAAGGCCUGCUUUGCCAUCUGAUGCAGUUUUAUCAUGGACUUGCAACUUUAAAAAAAAGUCUCAGCUGCUGCAGACAUGAGAAUGUUAACUUUAAUUUUCUGUAAGUGAAUUGCUAGAACUUGUGGUUGCUGAGAAAAGCUGGAAAACAACUUCUGAGUAUAAAAAUAACAUGGGUAAUAUU